GAUGAACGCUAGCUACAGGCUUAACACAUGCAAGUCGAGGGGUAGCAGGGUAGCAAUACCGCUGACGACCGGCGCACGGGUGAGCAACACGUAUCCAACCUUCCCAUAACUCGGGGAUAGCCUUUCGAAAGAAAGAUUAAUACCCGAUAGUACUUUUUCAAGGCAUCUUGAGAAAGUUAAAGAUUUAUUGGUUAUGGAUGGGGAUGCGUUCCAUUAGAUAGUUGGUGAGGUAACGGCUCACCAAGUCUUCGAUGGAUAGGGGUUCUGAGAGGAAGGUCCCCCACAUUGGUACUGAGACACGGACCAAACUCCUACGGGAGGCAGCAGUGAGGAAUAUUGGUCAAUGGGCGAGAGCCUGAACCAGCCAAGUAGCGUGAAGGAUGAAGGUCCUAUGGAUUGUAAACUUCUUUUAUAGUAGAAUAAAGUGAGCCACGUGUGGUUUUUUGUAUGUAUACUAUGAAUAAGGAUCGGCUAACUCCGUGCCAGCCGCCGCCGUAAUAC
rnacentral:rRNA from 1 species